rnacentral:misc_RNA from 1 species
GAAAUGCGAUAAGUAGUGUGAAUUGCAGAAUUCAGUGAAUCAUCGAAUCUUUGAACGCACAUUGCGCCCCUUGGUAUUCCAUGGGGCAUGCCUGUACGAGCGUCAUUUGUACCCUCAAGCUCUGCUUGGUGUUGGGUGUUUGUCCCGUCUCCGCGCGUGGACUCGCCCCAAAGUGAUUGGCAGCCGGCGUACUGGUCCCGGAGCGCAGCACAUGUCGCGCAAACGAGUGCCUUGGUACGGCGGCGUCCAUAAGCCCCUCUCUCACGCUCUUGACCUCGGAUCAGGUAGGGAUACCCGCUGAACUUAAGC